rnacentral:snoRNA from 1 species
AGCACAAACUGCCAAUUUGCAGAUAACUUUAUAAAUCCUUGAGACAUUCUAUUGAUGUCCCUUUAGAGGGCUGGUACGAGCUCAGAAGUUGUUUUGCUGUGAGUGCUGGUGCAAGAAGGGGACUACAGGCCGCGUUGAUAGGUCCUUAUGGUAGGAUAUUGACAAAUGUCUGCCUAUGACCAUGAGACAACCCAAAUGCGGUACAGACGCCCGUUGCGAGGGUUGCUGGACUGACGCGGGGAUACCCAUCGGAUGACGUGCCAGAGUUAGUAUCGGGCGAUAACCAU